ACCUAGCUGACGAGUCCCAAAUAGGACGAAAUGCGCGUCCUAAAU
rnacentral:hammerhead_ribozyme from 1 species